rnacentral:rRNA from 1 species
UUAGUUAUUAAUGAGUGUUGUAAUUAUUGUAAAAUAUUAGAUUAGUAUUAUGAGUGAAAAUUAAAGUUGUUUUAUAGAAAAAUGAGUACUGUUUGGGAAUUAAAUAAUUUGUAAAGAAUAUUAGGUUUAUUAUUACCUUUUGUAUUAGGGUUUUUUAAUUUGAUAAAAAAUUAUUUUUGUCUUGAUGAAUAUCGAGCUAUUAUCUAAGAGUAUUGGUUUUGUAGCAUAAAAUUUUUUAUUAUUUAAUGGUUAUGAAAUAUUAUUCAAGUUAUUUUUUAUCUAGUUUUCCGAGGAGUGUAAUUGUAGAUAUUUAUAUUAUGAAGGUAGGCGGGGAUUAGCUUGUCUAUUGUUUAUAUGUUUUAUUUAAAAAUGUUUAUUAGUGGAGUUGAAAGUUCUUAGUUUUAUGGUGUUAUUAGAGAUUAAAUUUUGUUUGUUAAUUUUUUAAAACUGUGUGUGAAUUGGGAAUGUUAUUUAAAUUUUAAUUUUAAUGAUAUAAUGAUAAAAUUAGUAAUAAGAUAAUUUGUAAAAUUAGUUGUUGGAUUAUUUUGAAAUAGUGAGAUUAAAAUUAUAUUAAGAAUGAAGAACUCGGCAAAAAUUAGCUUCUGACUGUUUAGCAAAAACAUUGUUUUUUGUUCAAAUAAAAAAUAAGUUCUGUCCGCUGCUUGAUAGUGAAGGGCUGCAGUAUUUUGACUGUAUGAAGGUAGCAUAAUCAUUAGCUUUUUAAUUGUGAGCUGGUAUGAAGGUGAAACAGAGGUUGACUGUUUUGUUUUUAAUAAAUGAAUUUUAUUUUUAUGUGAAAAAUCAUGAGUAAGUUAAAGGGACAAGAAGACCCUAAUAAGUUUAAUUUUUUGUUGUGAUGCAUAUAUAGGAUAUAAAUUUGUAUAAUUUAUGAUUUAAGAGUUUGACUGGGGCGGUAUAUAAAGAAACAUUAUUUAUUAUUUAAUUUUUGAUAGCGGUUGUUUUGACCUAAGUAGGUUAGUUGAGUGUUUAACUACUGUAGGGAUAACAGCGUAAUUUUUUUUAAGAGUUCUUAUUGACAGAAAAGUUUGCGACCUCGAUG